GGAGCAACGCCGCGUGCAGGAUGAAGGCCCUCGGGUCGUAAACUGCUUUUAUAAGCGAAGAAUAUGACGGUAACUUAUGAAUAAGCACCGGCUAACUACGUGCCAGCAGCCGCGGUCAUACGUAGGGUGCAAGCAUUAUCCGGAGUGACUGGGCGUAAAGAGUUGCGUAGGUGGUCAGUAAAGUGAAUAGUGAAAUCUGGUGGCUCAACCAUUCAGGCUAUUAUUCAAACUCACUGACUCGAGAAUAGCAGAGGUAACUGGAAUUUCUUGUGUAGGAGUGAAAUCCGUAGAUAUAAGAAGGAACACCAAUGGCGUAGGCAGGUUACUGGGCUAUUUCUGACACUGAGGCACGAAAGCGUGGGGAGCGAACGGGAUUAGAUACCCCGGUAGUCCACGCCGUAAACUAUGGAUACUAGCUGUUGGAGGUAUCGACCCCUUCAGUAGCGAAGCUAACGCGUUAAGUAUCCCGCCUGUGGAGUACGGUCGCAAGACUAAGACAUAAAGGAAUUGACGGGGACCCGCACAAGCGGUGGAUUGUGUUCUUUAAUUCGAUGAUAAACGAAGAACCUUACCAGGGUUUGACAUCCUUGGAAUUAAUCCGAAAGGAUUGAGUGCUUUAUUGAGCCAAGU
rnacentral:rRNA from 1 species